UGUAAUCUCUAGAAGUGUUUUCCGCGUUGGACCGCACACAAGUCUGUUGGAAUACAGCGGCACAGUGGUGAUACCCCCGUACACGGUGCGGACGCCCAKCGCUUUGUGAUACACUUUCAAUGAGUCGAGUUGUUUGGGAAUGCAGCUCAAAUUGGGUGGUAAAUUCCAUCUAAAGCUAAAUAUUGGCGAGAGACCGAUAGCGAACAAGUACCGUGAGGGAAAGAUGAAAAGCACUUUGGAAAGAGAGUUAACAGUACGUGAAAUUGUUGGAAGGGAAACGCUUGAAGUCAGACUUGCUUGCCGGAGCUUGCUUCGGUUUGCAGGCCAGCAUCAGUUUUCCGGGGUGGAUAAUGGUGGUUUGAAGGUAGCAGCCUCGGCUGUGUUAUAGCUUUCCACUGGAUACAUCCUGGGGGACUGAGGAACGCAGCGUGCUUUUUGCGAAGGUUUCGACCUUUUCACGCUUAGGAUGCUGGUGUAAUGACUUUAAACGACCCGUCUUGAAACACGGACCAAGGAGUCUAACAUGCUCGCGAGUAUUUGGGUGUCAAACCCGGAUGCGCAAUGAAAGUGAAUGUAGGUGGGAACCGCAAGGUGCACCAUCGACCGAUCUGGAUCUUUUGAGAUGGAUUUGAGUAAGAGCGCGUAUGUUGGGACCCGAAAGAUGGUGAACUAUGCCUGAAUAGGGCGAAGCCAGAGGAAACUCUGGUGGAGGCUCGUAGCGGUUCUGACGUGCAAAUCGAUCGUCGAAUUUGGGUAUAGGGG
rnacentral:rRNA from 1 species